GUUAUAUUCCCCCCGUUCCGAAUUACUUGUCGCAGGUAUGGAUAUAUCUAGAUGUAUUUUAGUUCUAUAUACAUCCAUUUCUGCGACGAGUAAUUUGGAACGGAGGGAGUAUAUA
rfam:Triticum urartu cultivar G1812 contig831557, whole genome shotgun sequence.